GAUCAGUGGCUCGAGGACGAACGCUGGCGGCGUGCCUAACACAUGCAAGUCGAACGGAAGUUAGAGCUUCGGUUUUAACUUUAGUGGCGGACGGGUGAGUAACGCGUGGGUAACCUGCCUUAUACAGGGGGAUAACAGUUAGAAAUGACUGCUAAUACCGCAUAAGCGCACAGUAUCGCAUGAUACAGUGUGAAAAAGCCGAGACGGUAUAAGAUGGACCCGCGUCUGAUUAGCUAGUUGGUGAGGUAACGGCCCACCAAGGCGACGAUCAGUAGCCGGACUGAGAGGUUGACCGGCCACAUUGGGACUGAGAUACGGCCCAGACUCCUACGGGAGGCAGCAGUGGGGAAUAUUGGGCAAUGGACGCAAGUUUGACCCAGCAACGCCGCGUGAAGGAAGAAGGCUUUCGGGUUGUAAACUUCUUUUAAGAGGGAAGAGUAGAAGACGGUACCUCUUGAAUAAGCCACGGCUAACUACGUG
rnacentral:rRNA from 1 species